rnacentral:rRNA from 1 species
AGUGAACGCUGGCGGUAGGCCUAACACAUGCAAGUCGAACGGCAGCACAGUAAGAGCUUGCGCUUACGGGUGGCGAGUGGCGGACGGGUGAGGAAUACAUCGGAAUCUACUUUUUCGUGGGGGAUAACGUAGGGAAACUUACGCUAAUACAGCAUACGACCUAGGGGUGAAAGCAGGGGAUCUUCGGACCUUGCGCGAAGGAAUGAGCCGAUGACGGAUUAGCUAGUGGGCGGGGUAAAGGACGACCAAGUCGACGAUCCGUAGCUGGUCUGAGAGGAUGAUCAGCCACACUGGAACUUGGACACGGUCCCUACUCCUACGGGACGCAGCAGUGUGGAAUAUUGGACAAUGGUCGCAAGCCUGAUCCAGCCAUACCGCGUGGGUUAAGAAGGCCUUCGGGUUGUAAAGCCCUUUUGUUGGGAAAGAAAAGCAGCCGGUUAAUACCCCGCUGUUCUGACGGUACCCAAAGAAUAAGCACCGGCUAACUUCGUG